UCNUCUGGCUUAACUGGGGGCUUGCGGUGGGUACGGGCCGGCUUGAGUGCGGUAGGGGAGACUGGAACUCCUGGUGUAGCGGUGGAAUGCGCAGAUAUCAGGAAGAACACCGGUGGCGAAGGCGGGUCUCUGGGCCGUUACUGACGCUGGGGAGCGAAAGCGUGGGGAGCGAACAGGAUUAGAUACCCUGGUAGUCCACGCCGUAAACGUUGGGCACUAGGUGUGGGGGGCCUUUUCCGGGUCUUCCGCGCCGUAGCUAACGCAUUAAGUGCCCCGCCUGGGGAGUACGGCCGCAAGGCUAAAACUCAAAGGAAUUGACGGGGGCCCGCACAAGCGGCGGAGCAUGCGGAUUAAUUCGAUGCAACGCGAAGAACCUUACCAAGGCUUGACAUGUGCCGGUCUGCUCCGGAGACGGGGUUUCCUCCCUUGUGGGGGCUGGUUCACAGGUGGUGCAUGGUUGUCGUCAGCUCGUGUCGUGAGAUGUUGGGAUAAGUCCCGCAACGAGCGCAACCCUUGUCUCGUGUUGCCAGCACGUUGUGGUGGGGACUCGCGGGAGACUGCCGGGGUCAACUCGGAGGAAGGUGGGGAUGACGUCAAAUCAUCAUGCCCCUUAUGUCUUGGGCUUCACGCAUGCUACAAUGGCCGGUACAGAGGGCUGCGAUACCGUGAGGUGGAGCGAAUCCCUUAAAGCCGGUCUCAGUUCGGAUCGGUGUCUGCAACUC
rnacentral:rRNA from 1 species